AACGCGAAGAACCUUACCUGGCCUUGACAUCCAUGGAAUUUUGCAGAGAUGCAGAAGUGCCUUCGGGAACCAUGAGACAGGUGCUGCAUGGCUGUCGUCAGCUCGUGUCGUGAGAUGUUGGGUUAAGUCCCGCAACGAGCGCAACCCUUGUCCUUAGUUGCCAUCAUUCAGUUGGGAACUCUAAGGAGACCGCCGGUGACAAACCGGAGGAAGGUGGGGAUGACGUCAAGUCAUCAUGGCCUUUAUGGCCAGGGCUACACACGUGCUACAAUGGCAGGUACAGAGGGAAGCCAACGCGCGAGCGGGAGCCAAUCCCAGAAAGCCUGUCGUAGUCCGGAUCGGAGUCUGCAACUCGACUCUGUGAAGUUGGAAUCGCUAGUAAUCGCAGAUCAGCAUUGCUGCGGUGAAUACGUUCCCGGGUCUUGUACACACCG
rnacentral:rRNA from 1 species